GGUUAAAAAGCUCGUAGUUGGAUCUUGGAGCGUGUUCUUGCGGUCCCGUCUGAUGACUUGUACUGCUUGACGUGUUCUUCUAUUUGGUUGCGCGUGUGGUGCACUUAGUUGAGUGCCACACUCGACCGAAACGUUUACCUUGAAAAAAUUAGAGUGUUCAAAGCAGACCUGUUUGUGUCUGAAUAUUCGUGCAUGGAAUAAUGAAAUAUGAAUUCGGUUCUAUUUUGUUGGUUUUCGGAACUCGAGUUAAUGAUUAAGAGGGACAGACGGGGGCAUUCGUACUCUGCCGUUAGAGGUGAAAUUCUUGGAUCGGCGGAAGACGCGCAACUGCGAAAGCAUUUGCCAAGAAUGUUUUCUUUAAUCAAGAACGAUAGUCGGAGGUUCGAAGACGAUCAGAUACCGUCCUAGUUUCGACUGUGAACUAUGCCAGCUAACGAUCAGACAGCGUUCUCUACGACUUGUCUGGCAGUUUCCGGGAAACCAAAGCUUUUGGGUUCCGGGGGAAGUAUGGUUGCAAAGCUGAAACUUAAAGGAAUUGACGGAAGGGCACCACCAGGAGUGGAGCCUGCGGCUUAAUUUGACUCAACACGCGGAAACUCACCCCGGCCCGGACACAGUGAGGAUUGA
rnacentral:rRNA from 1 species